rnacentral:rRNA from 1 species
UACGGAGGGGGCUAGCGUUGUUCGGAAUUACUGGGCGUAAAGCGCGCGUAGGCGGCCUUGUAAGUUAGAGGUGAAAGCCCGGAGCUCAACUCCGGAACUGCCUUUAAGACUGCAUCGCUAGAAUCAUGGAGAGGUGAGUGGAAUUCCGAGUGUAGAGGUGAAAUUCGUAGAUAUUCGGAAGAACACCAGUGGCGAAGGCGACUCACUGGACAUGUAUUGACGCUGAGGUGCGAAAGCGUGGGGAGCAAACAGG